rnacentral:rRNA from 1 species
AACGAACGCUGGCGGCAGGCUUAACACAUGCAAGUCGAACGCCCCGCAAGGGGAGUGGCAGACGGGUGAGUAACGCGUGGGAACAUACCCUUUUCUACGGAAUAGCUCUGGGAAACUGGAAUUAAUACCGUAUACGCCCUACGGGGGAAAGAUUUAUCGGGGAAGGAUUGGCCCGCGUUGGAUUAGCUAGUUGGUGGGGUAAAGGCCUACCAAGGCGACGAUCCAUAGCUGGUCUGAGAGGAUGAUCAGCCACAUUGGGAAUGAGACACGGCCCAAACUCCUACGGGAGGCAGCAGUGGGGAAUAUUGGACAAUGGGCGCAAGCCUGAUACAGCCAUGCCGCGUGAGUGAUGAAGGCCUUAGGGUUGUAAAGCUCUUUCACCGAUGAAGAUAAUGACGGUAGUCGGAGAAGAAGCCCCGGCUAACUUCGUG